AGGGAGCCCUAGCACAGGUGCUGCAUGGCCGUCGUCAGCUCGUGCCGUGAGGUGUUGGGUUAAGUCCCGCAACGAGCGCAACCCCCGCCGUUAGUUGCCAGCGGUCGGCCGGGCACUCUAACGGGACUGCCCGCGAAAGCGGGAGGAAGGAGGGGACGACGUCUGGUCAGCAUGGCCCUUACGGCCUGGGCGACACACGUGCUACAAUGCCCACUACAAAGCGAUGCCACCCGGCAACGGGGAGCUAAUCGCAAAAAGGUGGGCCCAGUUCGGAUUGGGGUCUGCAACCCGACCCCAUGAAGCCGGAAUCGCUAGUAAUCGCGGAUCAGCCAUGCCGCGGUGAAUACGUUCCCGGGCCUU
rnacentral:rRNA from 1 species